AAAAAAAUCUCUUGGGGACCUUAUUGAAUUGCAGAUUCUGAUUCAGUUAGGUCAAGGACAUAGACUUGAGAUUCUGCAUUUCUGACAAGUUGUCAGGUAAUGCCCAG
rnacentral:miRNA from 1 species